rnacentral:rRNA from 1 species
UGGGGAAUAUUGGACAAUGGGCGAAAGCCUGAUCCAGCCAUGCCGCGUGUGUGAAGAAGGUCUUCGGAUUGUAAAGCACUUUAAGUUGGGAGGAAGGGCAGUCAGUUAAUACCUUGCUGUCUUGACGUUACCAACAGAAUAAGCACCGGCUAACUUCGUGCCAGCAGCCGCGGUAAUACGAAGGGUGCAAGCGUUAAUCGGAAUUACUGGGCGUAAAGCGCGCGUAGGUGGUUCAGCAAGUUGGAUGUGAAAGCCCCGGGCUCAACCUGGGAACUGCAUCCAAAACUACUGAGCUAGAGUACGGUAGAGGGUGGUGGAAUUUCCUGUGUAGCGGUGAAAUGCGUAGAUAUAGGAAGGAACACCAGUGGCGAAGGCGACCACCUGGACUGAUACUGACACUGAGGUGCGAAAGCGUGGGGAGCAAACAGG